ACGCACGCUGGCGGCGUGCUUCACCCAUGCAAGUCGAACGGAAAGGCCCUGCUUUUGUGGGGUGCUCGAGUGGCGAACGGGUGAGUAACACGUGAGUAACCUGCCCUUGACUUUGGGAUAACUUCAGGAAACUGGGGCUAAUACCGGAUAGGAGCUCCUGCUGCAUGGUGGGGGUUGGAAAGUUUCGGCGGUUGGGGAUGGACUCGCGGCUUAUCAGCUUGUUGGUGGGGUAGUGGCUUACCAAGGCUUUGACGGGUAGCCGGCCUGAGAGGGUGACCGGCCACAUUGGGACUGAGAUACGGCCCAGACUCCUACGGGAGGCAGCAGUGGGGAAUAUUGCACAAUGGGCGGAUGCCUGAUGCAGCAACGCCGCGUGCGGGAUGACGGCCUUCGGGUUGUAAACCGCUUUCGCCUGUGACGAAGCGUGAGUGACGGUAAUGGGUAAAGAAGCACCGGCUAACUACGUG
rnacentral:rRNA from 1 species